GCCCCUGUAGCUCAAUGGAUAGAGCACCGGACUUCUAAUCCGACGGUUACAGGUUCGAGUCCUGUCAGGGGCA
rnacentral:tRNA from 2 species